UCUCAAGAAUUAGAAUACAGGAUACUUUU
rnacentral:piRNA from 1 species